rnacentral:lncRNA from 1 species
UAUUGCUUAUUUUCUGCCUUUUGUUUGCUGGCAUAAUCAUAGAAAUGGUUCAACAUAUGCAAAUCAGUAAAUGUAAUCCAUCACAUAAACAGAAUCAAUGACAAAAACCACAUAAUUAUCUCAAUAGAUGCAGAAAAGACCUUCAACGAAAUUCAACAACCCCUCAUACUAAAAACUCUCCAUAAACUAGGUAUCGAUGGAACAUAUCUCAAAAUAAUAAGAGCUGUUUAUGACAA